UACGUAGGGGGCAAGCGUUAUCCGGAAUUACUGGGUGUAAAGGGUGCGUAGGCGGCCCGGCAAGUUUGAUGUGAAACCCAUAGGCUUAACCUGUGGCAUGCAUCAAAAACUACCGAGCUAGAGUGCAGGAGAGGAAAGCGGAAUUCCUAGUGUAGCGGUGAAAUGCGUAGAUAUUAGGAAGAACACCAGUGGCGAAGGCGGCUUUCUGGACUGCAACUGACGCUGAAGCACGAAAGCGUGGGGAGCAA
rnacentral:rRNA from 1 species